GCCAGCAGCAUAUCACCCUGCAACUCACAACUGGCAGCCUACUGAAGCUAAGCAGGUGUGAGCCUGGUCAGUACCUGGAUGGGAGACCUCCUGGGGGAAAAACUACGGUUGCUGCUGGAA
rnacentral:rRNA from 1 species